rnacentral:rRNA from 1 species
CAUACCACCCUGUAUGGGCUUGAUCUCAUCUCAUCUUGGAAGCUAAGAACGGUAGGCCUGGUUAGUACUUGAAUGGGAGAAUGGAAAUGCUGGCU